CCCCUAACAACACUGAAAUAAAAAGUUACAAGUUAAUUUCAUUUUCCUCCUGCUCCUGGUUUACUGUUAUAAAUCUGGGUGAGAAAUGUUAAGAACUGCAUUUACAUAUCUCUAUUUUCUAAACAGAUGUAUGGCGAGAGGAAAAGCUAAGCAGCGAUUGCACUGGCAGGGAGCAGCUAGGUGGAAUUACCCUGAAUAUAUGGGAAGAAAAACCUGCAGUUUGUUACCUUCUCAAUUCUCUUCAAUGUUCUUUCUUUCUCUGCCCAGGCACUCUAAAAUGAAAUGAAAAAUCAGAGCAAGGCUGGAGAACUUUGUCUUCUCCCAGGACAAAAAAAAAAAAAAGCAGCUCAAAUUGAGCUUGGAAAUCCUGACAAGUUGCACAGCUACCAGAACAACUCCCGGGUUCAAGCCUUGCAAUGGCUUCACAUGAAGUCUGAAUCCAAAGGGAAUUUAACUCCAGGAGAGGUCAUCAGCCUGAUCUACUGUCCUAAAUUAUGCAGAUCAAAUCAGAUGACUGGACCCACUAAUCAUAAAUCAGCUGAAAAAUAUAAUUCAUACUCCAAGACUGGUGGGAGAUUAAUUCACAACAACUCCCACCUGACUCCAUGUCUUGGGAACCAGUCUACAAUGUUCCCCUGGGAAAGGGAUGGAUGCAGCAAAGAAGAGCCAGAAUGCCAAAGGACUGGUCUGGAUGCCCCCUGCCCCAGCAGUGUGUGAUGCCAAGCUCAAACAAGAUCCCAAUGUCUGAAGACAGGGAGUUGGACCUGACAAAACAGUCACCAUCAAGCAAGCUGGGCCAUCAAGCACAUCCCUCACUCAACACAAGAUCUUAGACCCAAUCCAUAUAAAAAUGAGGAGAGAAACAAUUCCAGUCAAAAUUUUGCUCCCCUUAUUGUCUUUCCAUGGAGCACAGCUGUGCCACCGAGGAACACUUUAGUGACACUGAAGGAAGAAGCUGUAAACAGCCAGGGGCUGUAUCACCUACCCUUGGAGAAAAGGUCCAAGUUUGAGGAUUUUUGGGCAGCCACGUGGCUCUCACUGUGUGAAUGUUACUCAGCACCUAAA